GUAAAAUGGCUGAAGUUUAGGCAGUAAAUUGUAAAUUUAUUAAUGAAUGUAAUUCUUUUACC
rnacentral:tRNA from 1 species